AAGUCGUAACAAGGUUUCCGUAGGUGAACCUGCGGAAGGAUCAUUGCAAAUCAAAGAUUGGGAAUGAGUAUGAGAUGUGGCAAGUAGUGGUGGAUGUUCGAGAGUGAUCUUGUCAUUUUGCUGUUAUUUGUUGCACCCAUUCCAUUUUCAUAUACGCACAGCGUGCUUGGACUUAGGGGGUGCGAAUCCUCUUAUUCUUGCCGCUGAUGUUUACGCUUGUUUGUUUGACAAAUCUAUUACAUUUAAAUAUUCAAAACUUUUAACAACGGAUCUCUUGGCUCUU
rnacentral:misc_RNA from 1 species